rnacentral:tRNA from 1 species
CGGGACGUGGCGCAGCCUGGUAGCGCACAUGCUUCGGGAGCAUGGGGCCGCUGGUUCAAAUCCAGUCGUCCCGA